UUCCGGUUGAUCCUGCCGGACCCCACUGCUAUCGGGAUAGGACUAAGACAUGCUAGUUGAGCGCUUCAGCCAAAACGAGGCGCGGCAUACAGCUCAGUAACACGUGGCUAAUCUGCCCUUGGGAUGAGAACAACCCCGGGAAACUGGGGCUAAUUCUUAAUAGGUGAAGAACUCUGGAAUGAGUCUUUGCUAAAAAGGCAUCACGUUAUGCUCGUGGUGUUGCCCAAGGAUGAGGCCGCGACCGAUCAGGUUGUUGGUGAGGUAAUGGCUCACCAAGCCUUUUACCGGUGCGGGCCGUGAGAGCGGGAGCCCGGAGAUGGGCACUGAGACAAGGGCCCAGGCCCUACGGGGCGCAGCAGUCGCGAAAACUUUGCAAUACACGAAAGUGUGACAGGGCUAUCCCGAGUGCCUUCCGCUGAGGAGGGCUUUUACCUAGUAUAGAAAGCUAGGGGAAUAAGGAGAGGGCAAGUCUGGUGUCAGCCGCCGCGGUAAUACCAGCUCUCCGAGUGGUGUGGAUGUUUAUUGGGCCUAAAGCAUCCGUAGCUGGCUAAGUUAGUCCCUUGUUAAAACCACCGAAUUAAUCGUUGGAAUGCGGGGGAUACUGCUUGGCUAGGGGACGAGAGAGGCAGACGGUAUUUUCGGGGUAGGGGUGAAAUCCUAUAAUCCCGGGAAGACCACCAGUGGCGAAGGCUGUCUGCUAGAACGCGCCCGACGGUGAGGGAUGAAAGCUG
rnacentral:rRNA from 1 species